rnacentral:rRNA from 1 species
UGCGCAGGCGGGAAAUUAAGUCGGUGGUGAAAUCCUGCAGCUUAACUGUAGAAUUGCCAUUGAUACUGAUUUUCUUGAGUGCAGUUGAGGUGGGCGGAAUGUGUAAUGUAGCGGUGAAAUGCUUAGAUAUUACACAGAACACCGAUUGCGUAGGCAGCUCACUAAACUGUUACUGACGCUCAGGCACGAAAGCGUGGGGAGCGAACAGGAUUAGAUACCCUGGUAGUCC